rnacentral:tRNA from 1 species
GGGAAUGUGGCUUAGUGGUAAAGUGCUUGUCUAGCAUGCAUGAAGCCCUGGGUUUGAUUCCUCAGCACCA